rnacentral:rRNA from 1 species
CCCUUAGACGUUCUGGGCCGCACGCGCGCUACACUGACCAGUGCAACAAGCAUCCGUCCUUGGCCGACAGGCCCGGGCAAUCUUUGAACGCUGGUCGUGAUGGGGAUAGAUUCUUGCAAUUAUUAAUCUUCAACGAGGAAUUCCUAGUAAACGCAAGUCAUCAGCUCGCAUUGAUUACGUCCCUGCCCUUUGUACACACCGCCCGUCGCACCUACCGAUUGAAUGGUCCGGUGAAAUCCUCGGAUCGAGCCGUGGGGCAACUCCGGUUCGAGAAGUUGAUUAAACCUUACCAUUUAGAGGAAGGUGAANUCGUAACA